AUGCUCACUUUGGCAGCACAUAUACUAAAAUUGGAAUGAUACAGAGAAGAUUAACAAGGCCCUUGUGCAAGGAUGACAAGCAUAUUCAUGAAGCGUUCCAUAUUUUU